GCACCUAAUUGGCUUGUUUUGAGUCUAAUUGGAUUAGAUUUGAUAAAUCAUUUAUUUUUGACCGUUAGAUCUUCAUCUACCGUUGGAUGAAGACAUAAUGGUGAGUUGGUUUGAACCCAAUUAGAUUGGGUUAAGAAAGGCUUUUAAUCAUGACCAUUUGAUCUUCAUCAGCAAUUGGAUGAAGACAUAAUAUGAUUAUGAUGAGGCGCCUUGCAUUGGGACCAUUGGAUCAUCUUAGAACCGUUGGAUGAUGACAUAACUCCCCUUACUCAUGGCGCCUUGCAUUCUAGCCCUUGGAUCUUCAUCAAGAGAUGAUGGAUGAUCAAGAUUCAUGGCGUGAUGGAUCAGCAUUUGAUGUUGACUUGGUCAACAUCAGAUGGCGUGAAGAUGGACUUAUGAUGGCGUGAAAAAGGAGAGUGCCGCAUGAGGUGUUUUGGAUAAGGAUGCCAUAACCACCUCUUCACAUGAUACGCCUC
rnacentral:lncRNA from 1 species